rnacentral:lncRNA from 1 species
AAGAGAACACCAAACCCCAAUGAGGAGGAUUAGAGAAGAGAUUUUUGCUAUUCGAUAGACGCAAAUAUUUAAGGCCAACCAGAUGUCCAAUUGAUGAAGGUAUUUCCUCGAUCGCACUACCACUUAAGGCAAUCGACUCCAAAUUCUUCUUCUGCUCCCCAAAUUCUAGAAUCUUUUUCAGAUUUUUGCAAUUAUCUAGAUGCAACUUCUGAAGGCCAACCAGAUGUCCAAAGGAUAAAGGUACUUCCUCGAUCGCACUACCAAUUAAGUCAAUGAACGCCAAAUUCUUCAUCUGCUCCCCAAAUUCUGGAAUCUUUUUCAGAUUUUUGCAAUUAUUUAGAUACAACUCCUUAAGGCCAACCAGAUGUCCAAUUGAUGAAGGUAUUUCCUCGAUCGCACUACCACUUAAGACAAUCGACUCCAAAUUCUUCAUCUGCUCCCCAAAUUCUGGAAUCUUUUCCAGAUUUUUGCAAUUAUCUAGAUGCAACUCAUAAAGGCUAACCAGAUGUCCAAUUGAUGAAGGUAUUUCCUCAAUCGCACUACCACUUAAGGCAAUCAACUCCAAAUUCUUCAUCUGCUCCCCAAAUUCUGGAAUCUUUUUCAGAUUUUUGCAAUUAUCUAGAUGCAACACCUUAAGGCCAACCAGAUGUCCAAUUGAUGAAGGUAUUUCCUCGAUCGCACUACCACUUAAGACAAUCAACUCCAAAUUCUUCAUCUGCUCCCCAAAUUCUGGAAUCUUUUUCAGAUUUUUGCAGUUAUCUAGAUGCAACACCUUAAGGCCAACCAGAUGUCCAAUUGAUUAAGGUAUUUCCUCGAUCGCACUACCAUUGAAGCUAAUCGACUCCAAAUUCUUCAUCUGCUCCCCAAAUUUUGGAAUCUUUUUCAGAUUUUUGCAAUUACGUAGAUGCAACACCUUAAGGCCAACCAGAUGUCCAAUUGAUGAAG